CAAGAACUGCUUUAACUUGGCGAAGCUUCUCAGCAUAUUCAAUCAAGGUUUUCUGGAUCACUAUCACUCUCACGACCUGGUCUACAUAUAAAAAAAGGAAGACCAUAUUGUCGUUAUUAGUAUUCAACACAUGGAAAAGAUAGACCAGACAUGUUUUUUGGAGACAAGACACAAAGAGUUGAGUUCAGGAUUCUAAAGAUGAGGAGCCUUUGCGUCUAAACACAUUUU
rnacentral:lncRNA from 1 species